UGGUGGGUAGUUUGACUGGGGCGGUCUCCUCCUAAAGAGUAACGGAGGAGCACGAAGGUUGGCUAAUCCUGGUCGGACAUCAGGAGGUUAGUGCAAUGGCAUAAGCCAGCUUGACUGCGAGCGUGACGGCGCGAGCAGGUGCGAAAGCAGGUCAUAGUGAUCCGGUGGUUCUGAAUGGAAGGGCCAUCGCUCAACGGAUAAAAGGUACUCCGGGGAUAACAGGCUGAUACCGCCCAAGAGUUCAUAUCGACGGCGGUGUUUGGCACCUCGAUGUCGGCUCAUCACAUCCUGGGGCUGAAGUAGGUCCCAAGGGUAUGGCUGUUCGCCAUUUAAAGUGGUACGCGAGCUGGGUUUAGAACGUCGUGAGA
rnacentral:rRNA from 1 species